UGAACGCUAGCGGCAGGCUUAAUACAUGCACGUCGCGGGGCAGCAGGACUGUAGCACUCCAGUUGCUGGCGACCGGCAAACGGGUGCGGAACACGUACGCAACCUACCCAAAACUGGGGGAUAGCCCGGGGAAACCCGGAUUAAUACCUCGUAACCUUUUUAAGUGGCAUCACUUGAUAAGUAUAGCUCCGGCGGUUUUGGAUGGGCGUGCGCCUGAUUAGGUAGUUGGUGCGGGUAACGGCCCACCAAGCCUGCGAUCAGUAACUGGUGUGAGAGCACGACCAGUCACACGGGCACUGAGACACGGGCCCGACUCCUACGGGAGGCAGCAGUAAGGAAUAGUGGUCAAGGGACGCAAGUCUGAACCAGCCAUGCCGCGUGAAGGAUGAAGGUCCUCUGGAUUGUAAACUUCUUUUAUGGGGGACGAAACCCGGAUAUUCUUAUCCGAUUGACGGUACCUCAGGAAUAAGCACCGGCUAACUCCGUG
rnacentral:rRNA from 1 species